GGUGAGAGCUUUGUCCUUUGGAAAUCCAGGCAGGAGCUGCCUCUGUUGAGGUGGGACCUCCUUAUGUAACCCACUUGCUACUGAAGUACCUCAGUGUAAAUGGAAAAGUUAAGAAGAAAAUACAAGAAGAAACACAAGAGGGUUUUUUUCCUCCUUAAGUGCUCUCAUGGGUUUGCUGUCUUUUACUUGUUCCUCUCUUAUCCAAAAUGAAACUUUCUUCUUUUUUUUUGCCCCUCAAAAAGCAUGGAAAGAAAAAUUGCUAAUGAAUCAAAGUACAAGAAAAGUUAAUGGUUGUGUCCAGAGCACUGAUUUUUCCUCAUGGGUGUGGCAGAACUAGAACUGGAGCCCACGUGGAGUCUCCAUCCAAUGCUGCUCUGCACUCAUCAGCCAUCCCUCCAAUUAAUUAACUGCCUGAAAUUAAUAUACAGACCAGCAUCACUUUUAAUUUCAUUUUCUGUUACUCCAAACUGAAUUGCCUUUAAUAAAAACCUUACAAAAAGCAGAUUUACUCUUAUCUGCUCAUGCCAACCCUGAGCCACCAUUGGCAUGUUUUACAUGAGCCCAAGUUCUACCCUGAGUUAAUGAACAAGGCAGAGUGGGAAUAUAAGACAACUUUUAAACCUACAGAUAAUGCAGAACACUGUCAAAUGGGGAAUUCAAGAGAAAGAGGAAAACCUCUCCGAGUUUAACACAAAAAUAAAUGAUGGUUUUAGCACUGCUACACGAACAUUGCAUUUCCCAGAAGCAGAAACUUGUUUGGAUCUGGGUCAAGAGGAAAAAAAAAAAAAAAAAAAAAGUUGCUGAAAUUAAGAACACUUCGAAGUUUGGAUUGAUUAGAAGUGAGUGAGGUUUGUUGUCAUAAGGUUUUUGUAAGGGCUGAGGAGUUUGUGUUUGACUUUAUUCUUAAAUAUUUACGAGAAAACUAACCACUGUGUUUUUGGCUCUGUAAAUAUUGACAGCAGGGUUUCAUCUUUCAUUAGGAGGACCAAUAUUUGCAGAAUUGAAUCCGUGACCCUCAGGUUAAAUGCACAGGGAGAUGGGAGGGGGAUCUUGUCACUGCAAUGAGGGGUCAAACUGGCUGAUUCCAGUAGAGAUAAAGGGGGAGAAUGGGGGAAUUAUGGACCUUUUCUGUUAAAACACACCAAAUGUUUGAGCAAGGGAUGCUCUUCUCCCUCAGGUGAAGUGUCCCAGGUAUCUCCUGCUCGUGGCUUUCAGGCUGGUGUGGGUCUGGUUUCUCCUUCUCUCUGCCUUUGCUCUGGUGACAACGUGCUCUUGAGGGAGCUUGGCUGAUGCUGCAGCCCUUGCCGGCCCUGCUAAGCUUUACAGCUGGAAUUUUAUAUCCAUGGAGGAAAGAAAAAAAACCUAGAGCUUCUCUCACUUAGCACCCUUUGGGACAGCAGCUGUAGAUGAAGAGCAAGCAAUCAACAUGUCAGGAUAAAAUUAGAUUGCCACGGAGUACAAAGUCUCUGGCUAACAGGAACUGUCUCCUGAAGGGAGCCAUCAGGAUGUGGGAGGUGUGGCUGGGAUUGCUGUGAGGGUGCUGAGCCAAGGAGGUGUUUGACCCUCGGGCCUCGCAAUUCGUGCCGCGUCGAAUC